rnacentral:lncRNA from 1 species
AAUAAAGUUAGACUAGUUUUUUCAGUCAAAAUUCUUUUGUCAUGCUAAAAACAUCUAAAAAGUAUAAAAAAUUCCAAUCAUCUCAAAAUAAUUUUUAGUAAAGGAUAUAAAAACUGGACAAUUAAAAAAUCUUUUUGGGACAAAAGUUACCUAUUUUUCUAGUUUUGAAAAAAUGGAUUGUUCUUACUGCAAUCGCACAAUGGAGGGUUGCGCCUCAAUUAAGUGCAGCCUGUGUUCGUCACAUUUCCACCUCGAGUGUGUGAGUAGCGAACACUUGGUCCCCAGCAAGAACUCUUGGAGGUGCUGCAAGUGUGAAACGGUCGCGAAUGCGCUAACGCCCAAAUUGGUGGACACAGUUCGUGCUUAAAUAGUUUUAGUGGAAAGUUUUUAGCGUAUUUUAAUUUAUUAAACGUUGUGGAUCAUAUCUUUUUA